UGGUAUAGCUCAAACGGUAGAGCAACUGACUUGUAAUCAGUAGGUUAUAGGUUCGAUUCCUAUUAUCA
rnacentral:tRNA from 1 species